CCCGGCCUCCAGGUUUCUGGCCCUGCCAGCCCAGACAACACCAGGGCCCCUCCGUAGGCUCGGCUCCUCGUCCUCCCCUUCCCUCCCCUCUCUCCCCCGCGGCCGCCGCCGGGAAUGACCUUCUAUCUGCCGGCCCUCUGAAACGCCAGCCGAACCACCGCCACCGCAGGACGAUGGCCAGGUCCAACAAGUCCAGCAGGAAGAGCUGCAAGCGCCAGAAGCCACCCAGUCGCCGAAACAUCAAGCAGGGCAAGCCGUGCCGGAAGAUGAGGAAGAGGAAGGGGUACGUCCGGGUCUGCACCACCUACUACUACCGGAAGAGAUGAGCUUCCUCUGGGUCAGCCUACACCUUCCCACCCGGGCAGUGUCCCCAGGGUGCGGAGCGGGGGGAGGUCUGCCUUGCCCCCCACCGAACACCGACCUCCCCCCGUCGCCCGCCAUCCUCCACCGUGGCCACCAGCUUCUGGGGAACCAGUUCCAUCCUACCAAGAUUCGAGCAAGAUCCACCGGCCGCAGAUAGAGACGGGAUAAGAUCUUGGAGCCUCCCCCUACCCUUAGACAAAUGCCAGACUUCUCAAUAAAUCCCUAAAAGGCA